UACGGGGGGGGCAAGCGUUGUUCGGAAUUAUUGGGCGUAAAGGGCGCGUAGGCGGCCUUGUAAGUCAAAGGUGAAAUCCCUCGGCUCAACUGAGGAACUGCCUUUGAAACUGCAAGGCUUGAGGCCGGGAGGGGGUAGCGGAAUUCCCAAUGUAGCGGUGAAAUGCGUAGAUAUUGGGAGGAACACCAGUGGCGAAGGCGGCUACCUGGACCGGUUCUGACGCUGAGGCGCGAAAGCGUGGGUAGCAAACAGG
rnacentral:rRNA from 1 species